UACGGAGGGGGCUAGCGUUGUUCGGAAUUACUGGGCGUAAAGCGCACGUAGGUGGCUUUGUAAGUUAGAGGUGAAAGCCCGGAGCUCAACUCCGGAAUUGCCUUUAAGACUGCAUCGCUAGAACGUCGGAGAGGUGAGUGGAAUUCCGAGUGUAGAGGUGAAAUUCGUAGAUAUUCGGAAGAACACCAGUGGCGAAGGCGACUCACUGGACGACUGUUGACACUGAGGUGCGAAAGCGUGGGGAGCAAACAGGAUUAGAUACCCCCGUAGUCC
rnacentral:rRNA from 1 species